rnacentral:rRNA from 1 species
ACGAACGCUGGCGGCGUGCUUCACACCUGCCAGUCGCACGGAAAGGCCCUGCUUUUGUGGGGUGCUCGAGUGGCGAACGGGUGAGUAACACGUGAGUAACCUGCCCUUGACUUUGGGAUAACUUCAGGAAACUGGGGCUAAUACCGGAUAGGAGCUCCUGCUGCAUGGUGGGGGUUGGAAAGUUUCGGCGGUUGGGGAUGGACUCGCGGCUUAUCAGCUUGUUGGUGGGUUAGUGGCUUACCAAGGCUUUGACGGGUAGCCGGCCUGAGAGGGUGACCGGCCACAUUGGGACUGAGAUACGGCCCAGACUCCUACGGGAGGCAGCAGUGGGGAAUAUUGCACAAUGGGCGGAAGCCUGAUGCAGCAACGCCGCGUGCGGGAUGACGGCCUUCGGGUUGUAAACCGCUUUCGCCUGUGACGAAGCGUGAGUGACGGUAAUGGGUAAAGAAGCACCGGCUAACUACGUG